rnacentral:rRNA from 1 species
GACGGAGGAUGCAAGCGUUAUCCGGAAUGAUUGGGCGUAAAGCGUCCGCAGGUGGCAGUUCAAGUCUGCUGUCAAAGCCCGGGGCUUAACUUCGGAAAGGCAGUGGAAACUGAACAGCUAGAGUAUGGUAGGGGAAGAGGGAAUUCCUGGUGUAGCGGUGAAAUGCGUAGAGAUCAGGAAGAACAUCGGUGGCGAAGGCGCUCUGCUGGACCAUAACUGACACUGAGGGACGAAAGCUAGGGGAGCGAAUGGG